UAGAACUUCUUAUUUUGCCUUUCCCCUAUAUCUGCCUACUUCUUUUUCUCUUUCUAAACCUACUGUAUAUAUACAACUAAUCUGGAGAUGUCCAUAUCCUUGUUCAGUAAGGCAACCUUACUCUCUAGAAUCAAAUUACAGGACAACCCAAAAGCAAAUUUCCUCAUUCUAGCCCUCGUGCUAAACACUAACUCUGGAGCAUAUCAAGAUAAUUAAUGGAAUUUCAAAGCAUACUCUUUGACCG
rnacentral:lncRNA from 1 species